AAACAUGCCACUGAUCUGACUACCUUACACAUAAAUUGCAGUGGAAAGAGCAGAAAACCACGUUAUUAUCUUGCAUUAUAAAUACAUCAGGAAGUCUGUCUUCAGUACAGAUAGUCUUUGCAGAAGAGCCAAAGGGGCAGCAGUCCUUGUUAGUUCCUUAGUGGAGUAAAAUCCCCUCUCCUGCCUUCUGCUGACUAACCUGAUGUGACAUUUACUUUAGUAAAAAGUAAGCUGCAGUAUUACUGUAUUUUCUUGCUUUCUGGUUUCUAUGGAGAUGAAUUUUGUUGUUGUAAAGAAAAAUUAUGAAUGUCUCAAUAAGUGCACAAACCCCACACUUUUGUUUGCUUCUGUGCAUGCUGUACCUGGAGUGUAUUUGAAAAUAUAUUAUAAUGUUUGUGCUCCCAAAUGCUUUUCUAAUGGCUGGAAAGGAGACAGGGAAGCAGUGGUGUGCAGGAUAAUAUAUCUGAGUUGCUUGACGCUGCAGUUGAUCUGGUGAUGUCACUUGAGGCAGCCCUGCUCUUAUAUUCUAGGUUGUAAAUGUCUCUUACCAUUUCGUAAUGCAUACAUCCUGUGGAUAUGUCUCUGUGCAUCCAUACAUUGGUGCCAAAUCAAGUUAGUAUCUGAUCUACUUGAUUUCACAGACCACCUCAACUGGAACAAAUAUUGUCGUCCUACUAUAUAUUUUAUAAACACACACACACCCACAUACACACAGAUGCACAUACACAAUGAAAGGAAGACAGAGCAAGAAAUGCCCUUAACAAAUGAGGUAACGUUUAUAUUCUUUAAUUUCUGUUUUUUAAAAAGUGACAUAUAAUUAGCUGAACUUGCUACAUUUCAGUCACCCCAGGUCUUUACCAGUAGUUGAAAUACGUACUAGAUAUGCCUAAUCUCUGAGAGGGGCAAAGCAUUAUUUCUAUUUAUUUUCAUGUAUGUCUGGCUUCUUAAAAGGAAUUCAUGUUAUUAUGUAAGAGAGUGGUGUACAGUGGGGCAAAGCUGAAGACUCUAGUAGUGUUACUACUUUGAUGUUCGUAUUUCAGGACUCUAUAGGUUUUCCUCUGUAGCUCUUAAGUUUUUGAAUCCCUCCUCUUCAUUCAAGAGUGAAUUGCCUCUGGAAUAGAUGCUCUAAGCGACAUUGCUGAGCGAGUUUAAAAUAGAAACAUACUGGAGAAUGUCUUAGUGUUCAUUGUGCCUUAAAAAUAUGUGCUCUGUUUCUCUUCACUUUCUCACUGCCAUCUCUGUGGCACUUUUUAAUAUGUAAACAUACAAUAUGCUGUGCAGUUCUCAUGAAUAAUUUAUUGCGUGAUUGCUAAAUUUAUUUGUACAAGUCUUUGCUACUUCAAGUUUCAGAUGACCUUGCCACCUUGUUUAAGAGGAAAAGCUUCUGAGCUGCCAAAAUGGCUCCAUUCAUUUUAUACAGGAAAGAGUGAUGUCCCAUAAAGUGUGAAUUCUGUAUUAAGCAAUGUGUUAGUUGUGUGUAGUGUGGAAAUCAGUAUCAAAUUCCAUAAGGUAAAAAACAUUUCAAAAGAUGCUUUGAAACUGGAAAGAAUCAGGUCUGUGCAGGUGUAGUUCAUUGAGAAAAUAUUACAGUUCAUGUCAACUUUUACAUGUCUUCCACGGAGACCAAUGACACAGUAACUUUUUUAAACUUUAAUUUUUAGUAAAAGAGGAUGGGACUAAAAUCAGUAAUUUUAGGUGAAGUCAAUUAUUCUAGAUUUUACUUAUGUAUCUAGUUCCGACAAUUUCUCAGGCUAUUGCCACAUUUUGGAUUAAGGAUAUUGCUUAGUCUUUCAAUUUGAACGUUAGUGAAUUAAUUCUGAUUUGCGCAAAUUUAAAAUUGUCUAAAAUUGGACCACUUUUCUCUGUAAAACUAAGCACCUUAAAUUCAAAAAGUGUUUGCUCAAACCUUUGCUCAUUUACACUAUUUGCAGUAGAUUCUUCUUUCAUUCCAACCACCUUAUGCUAUUUUUGCUUUAUAUUUAGCUGAGGAGCACCUCUUCCAUUGUGUUUGCUGUCAUUUAUAGAAAUUGUGAUUCAUAACCUGAUCUUUUUUUUUCCUCUUUAAGCUGAACCCAGUUUUGGUUCUAAAGUGUUUAAUAGCUUUAGAAAUUAUCAAUCCUUGUAAUAUGGGGGAGAGGCAGAGAAGAAAGAGAAAAUUAAAUUUAUAUGCUUAUGUGUGUGUAUGCUCAUAAAAUUCUGUACAUCUGUAUUAAAUAAAAGUAACCCUAAAGGCCUUAUUUACGUUUCUACUUGCCAUUUAAAUGCACAUGUAUUUUUGCAUAAGUCCAAGUUUGCAUUCAUUUCAUGUUUUGCAGUCUUGUGCCAAUAAUCUGACUACUUCUUCUUUUUAAAAAUAUAAGAAUAUUUUUAAAUAUAAGAAUAUAUAUAUGAAUAUAUAUAAGAAUAUUUUUAAACAACAGAUAUUGUCCUAAUGAAAUGUAGGCAAACCGACUGACAACUGAAUGAACAUAUCUCAUGUUCCUUAAGCUAAAUGUGAGCAGAAUCCUGCAAAAAUCAAUUGUCUGAUAGCUGGAGGACACUGGCUUCCAUGUGAUUGAAUUUCCUGGCUUGACAGAGGCUUCUAAAGCGCAGAUGUGCGAGUUUUUCUAACCUAAUUAAAGAAGCCCCCACCAUCAGCUCUGAAUUAAGUGAUUUCAUGGUAAUAUGAAAUGAAAACUCUUUGCUGAACCGCUGUGAAACAGUGAGUUUGGACCUUGCUAUUGUGUAUAAAUUACUCAGAGCACAUGUCCCCAAAUAUACAGCACAAAAGCCUGAGAGCUGCUGGACCAAGAUGAAUAUUCAUGUGAGUUCAAGCAUAAAGCUCUGAGACAUUAUCAGUUUCCUCUAUUUCUGUUUCCAUUCCCUGCAUAGGUUACUUGUGAAGAUUCAGGGCCUGUCCUUUUGCAUGUGUCAGGGACAGUAGACAGAUUAUUCCAAAGGAUUAUGGAUGGCAUGCUAGCAGGUAACUACCUGCAACACUAGCAAAACUUUAAUUUUUUUUUAUUUUCACUAGGUAAAAGACAUACAUCAAAAUGUUCACCCAGGAAUACUUUUGGAACUGGAAAAAUUUUGUGUGUUCAAUGUCAUAGCUAAUUGCCAAUGGUUAUUUUAAGCAGUUUUGUUUUCUUCAAACAGGUCUAGAACAUUUGUAUUUUAUUUUAAAUCUUGAAUGUAUAUGAAACAGGUUGCCUUAGCAGAUAGAAUCCGUUGUGAGUUAUCAAAAUUGAUCUGAUCUAUGUCACUUUGGAGGUUUCAGUCCUUUUUCUUUUCCCUUCACAUUUGCGUGUUUUAUUUAAACUCUGUUCAUUUCUUUUGCACUACAUACAUUAUUCAGAGAAUCCCUCUUACUGACAGCGCUGAAAUUAUUCAAAAACAUGAAUAGUACAAGAUUCUUACUCAUCAGAACACAAUACACCAGAGCUGAAACAUUUGUCUAUUGGCAUACAUUGUUCUGCCACUUAUAAGCAGGAAAUUCUGCUCAUGAUUAGAAAUCUACCUGAUUUCAGUUUGAUUUCAGAUGUUGGAGCAAAACAUUGAUUUUUGGAGAGGAUUGUAUGUAUUUAUUCUUUAGCUGAAUGCAAAAUAAUUUUCUUCCCUCCCUGUACCAUCUAUAUAGUACAUUAGUAUAUCUCAGCAUCGCAGUCAACAUUAAACAUGCUUGAGUACUUAUGAGAGGUAGUGCUAUGAUUUUACAAAGAACUAUUUGCCUUUCAGCUCUUGUCUUGUGGUUGAGAAUUUUUCUGUUGAAGUUGGAAAAAUCCUUAAUCUGUAGCAUCUUGCAGUUCUUGAACAGAGUUAGGCUAAAGGGGAUGAAGAGAGAUUGAUUCCAGUCUUUCAUUAGUGUUUUAUACUAAAAGUAAAGCUUUUCUCUUUGAGUCUGUUUGACUUCAUGUGUAUUCUGAGAUUAAUAUAUACCUAAUAAGUGUAAUUUAGAGAAAAUGAGGCACUUCCUUCCUCUUUUGCACAGUUCUGUUCUUACUAGAUUUUAAUCCCAGUAGAUGCAAAUCUCCCAAAGCAUAAUCUUGUUUACGUGCUACAUGGAUGAGAAGAAAAGCCUACUGGAAUUAAAAAUUUUGUAUCUUGGAAUGACUUUCCUCUUUCUCCAGGAGUUAGUGUUUUUGACUCUUGUGCCCUCUAGAUUUAUGUGAGGUUGAUGACCUGAAAUUGGAGGGCCUGAUUCUGCCUCACUAGUGAGAAUGCAUUUUCUGGGGAAGAUCUACUGAGGCCAGAGGCAGCCCUGAAGUCAGACAGGAGCCUCCCUUGUCACUCUCACCUCUCUGUGUGUUUGUCUCUGGGCAUGUGCAUGCUCCUGAGGGGAGAGGCAAUGUCAUUUUGGAGUUAACUUUCUGCUGAGAACUCCAGAAACCUGAGGAAAUAGACUCACACAUAGUAUUGCCCUUAUAUUGAGACUAUCUGUCAUUUUACCUACAGGAGUUUCAACUUUGAUUUUCUCAGCUGCAUCAUAAUGGGAUUUUCAUUAAAUUUGGUUAUUAAUUCUGCUUUAUAAUUGCAACUCAAUUUAGCAAUAGAAGCAUAACCUUGGUUGAAUAAUCAGUGUCAUUUAAAACCAUGGUGUUCUUUAUUUAGUAAGUGAGGUUUCAUACAUCAGCAUGGUGUUUUGCUAUCAAGAGCAGUGCAGUAUUCCCAAGGAUGCAGUUUGGGGUGUGUUGGGAGUUAUCAUACAGUCAGGUUUUAACUGCAAAAGCAAACAGUGUACUAGUUGGUUAGAAAGAUGGAACUAGAUUAAAAUUUACCCUUCUAAGGUAGGUUCGAUUACAAAAAUAAUUUUUAAGUGAGUGUUUUGCUUUAAUACGCAGAAUUUAUCUCAAGUUAGACUCCAAUUAUGAAAACAAUUUCUCUUAACACUUUUUAUUAUUAGGCUUGCUGAUGGAAUCAAAGAAUGUGUGUGUACUUGGGUGUCAUCUGCCAUAAGAAGAAUUCUGUAUAUUUUUUAGAGAUAAGAACAUCCAUAUUCAAAGAAUUUCAUAGCUCUAAAUGUGAUAUUUGUAAAUAGCCAUACAACAGAGAGAAGAUGAACUGUCAAUAUCUCCACUCCAUAAGAGUCUGGUUUUAAUUUUCAGGGUUAGUGUUGGGAAAAUAAAUGAUGGGCCUUUGCUGACAUACAGUCAGAUUCCUACCCUGGAAAUCCAAAACAUUCAUUUCCCUGGCAUUUGUUCUAGCAUGUUACUGGACUGACUAAAACUUUAAACUCAAAAGCUUUAUAGUAGCCUAUAGAAAUAAUUUAAUGUUAAUUUCAGAAGAUUGAUAAGAAACACUGUAUUUCUUCAUUCCUUUUGCAGUAGGCAAAGCAGUGCAGUUCUUCUUGUGUAGGACAAAGCACUUUAACAAGUAAAUUAAAUUGAUUAACUUGAGCUUUAUCAUUGUGAUCUAAGUUUGUAUGCUAGUCAAAAUAACUCAUGCAUUUCAUUUUUAGGUCUUAAUUGUUUUGAGACUUGCUUGUUCAUGAGAAGGGAAGACGUCUGCUUUGAUUUCUUAAUGGUUUUAGAUACUACAAUGAAUUGUGCAAUGCCAGAUUGUGAGCAGGCACUCAAGAUCAAAAAGAAAGGCUACCCUACAUUUUGGCACUCAGAGAUAUUCUAGUGUUUUCUGGAGUCCUUAGCAGCACCUGCCUUCCUGUUGGGAACUGCUUCCUGCUGAGCACUUGGGAAAAUCUGUCCUCCUCUGUGCAAUAAUGCAUGGAAAAAUGUUUUCUGUUGGUGCUGGUACUUCCUUGUGAGGACUGUGUUUCUUCCCUGCUCGUUUGCCAGAUAAAGUCUGCCUGACUUGUACAAAUAAUUGCAAGUUCUGUAUGGUGAGAAGAUGGAACCAGAGUGAUACAUACCCCUCACCCUUGGCCUGGCUGCACACUGGAAAGACUGGACAUUCUUCCUCUUCACCAGUUCCUCCAGAGCUGACUAUAGCUAAGUUUUAUGUUGGACUCAACUGGAAAUACCUGGAUAGUUACAACAAAGCUACUGUAAUGGCUGGAUUUUGAUCAGCUAUGCUAUUAUUAACAAUCUCCAAUGCAAACACUGGCCCUUGUCCUGAAGGUUUUUUUUUCCCCCAGGCAGAGCUGUUUGUGAUUUAAAUAGGGGAUCUACCUGAGCAGUGAUUGCAGAGUUUGGAACUCCUUAAAAAGAAGUAGUAGGAAUCCACUUUAUUUACAAAGGGAGCAUGUUCUCAUUUUUUCAUCUCAUAGCUCAAUUUUUUAAACGUACUAAAUUGCUUAACUCCUGUUAUUUUUAAAACCCAAAAUGUUUAGCAAUUGGACCCCUGGUACAUAAUUGCCUGUUUACAAAGAAAGUCAGUUGGGCUACUGUUUUCCUGUGUUCCACAGGCUAUUUCAAUGUUGUAUUUAUAUGCAGCAAUUGCUCCUGAAGCAUGCAGGUUUGUGCAGUACCUUUCACUAUAUUCAUAACCAACACGCAGGGCUUUUUUCCUGUAAAUACAAAUACAGCCCAAAAAAAAGAAAAAGUACUUAUGCUUUUCGCUAUAUUAUUUAUUAGGCUAAUUGUUGGAAAAGGCUUUAAACACAUUUUGAAGAUGUAUUAAAAUAUAUAAUUAUCUAACUACUCAUAA